UUCUUGACUAGUAAUAAACCUACCGACUUGGAGCACUCUUGGUCGAUGUGAAUCCUCGAGGACCGAGUGACCAAACUGACCAUAAAUUGACCGCGUGAAUCGAGUUAAAGACGAGAAUAAUUCAUUGUUUGUUAUGCACCGAAUCGGAAUUCGAUGGUGGUCGGUGAUGGAUCGAUCUGACGUCACGCGAGGAUACCCAAUCAAUCAAAGGAUAAGCGGAAUAAUCUGAUUACGGGAAGCGUCGCCGCAAACAACUACCCUGGAUUAUGGAGUCGAAUCUGAUCGAAAACUUUUCUAAUCGAUCCACCCGUUGGUCUGGCGUACUCCUUAGCCAUGAAUUAUUGAAAGGAUUGCUACCCAACCGCCUCUCUUUCCGAGAAUAUCAACACGAUACAGCUCAUGCCGCGUAGCUUAGCUCAAUCAAAAUCAUCGUUAUCCCUUGACGCGACGACCCUAAUUUAAUCGAUCACGAAUUUCCGUAUAUUUUCUUUUAACGUUAUUGCCGAUUCACGCAUGUUAUUUCCGGCGAUGAUUUAAUUGCUCCCGAGUAGUGAACGGAAAUAAAUAAACGUUAGAAAUAACCAGAAGUUCGGUAACUUACGACCUCCGGGAAACUUAAAAGCUGCAAAGACUUCGCGACGCUGAACCGAAUCGUCCUCCCAGUUUGAUUUCUACCUGUUGCACGGCAAUUAAUUUACCGCGCGUAAUGCCAACGUAAAUUAUUGAUCGACUCGAAUAAUAUAAGAUGUUCAUUGUUCCCGUGAGCUUGUCAACGGUCAUUGCAUAUGCGUGGGUGAAGUGAACAGAGAAGGAACAUCGAUCAGAAGUGUGAGAUUUUUAAAUCAUAUGCGUACGUUUCAAAGACGACACGUUCUCCCCAUCGCCGCACGACUCGGGAUCUUUUUAUUUUGGUUAGAUCUGCGAUGAAUUACAUGUGAAAAUGGUCUCCCGGGAAUAGAAUUAAUUUGCACUUUGUACCACGAGACCGUGGAGCGUGUCACACCCUAACGUAUUGAUAUUAAAAGAUACAGACGGACAAAACUCGGCAGCAUCCCCCAUCGCAAUACUAUUGCAACUAGAUACAAACUAUCCCAUCUAAUGUUCGGCGCCCCCAUGAAGCGCGUACCCUUGUAGCGGUCGGAGUAAUGAAAUCAUAAUUCCAUUUGGGGUGACAAAAGUCAGGAGGAAUCGGGAAUAUCCGUAGAACAAGUGAUAUCGAUAUGUCCUCGGUUCGACACACCAGUCGGUGUAUUAUAGGGAUAAAAUUCGGCCGUAUGAAAUCUCUGCAAAAGGAAGUAAUUCGACCUUAAAGUGAUGGGGUGAAUUCCACACGAAUACUUUGCGCCACUGCUCCGAAUGAGUGCUCGUUUUUGCGAUGCCUAUUCCCGACUCGUUUUCAUGUAUGCCGAGAAAUAAAGCGAUUAGGGAUUUUCCGAAGGAUUUUCAAAAGGCACGAGUGUAUCAAGUGGGGUUUGCCUCAGCUUGUUCAAUUUUGCGGCCUAUAGAAAGUGGGUAUAAAAUAAACGCCGUAUAGGGAAUAAGACUCGCGGGCGCGUGCGAAACCUAUUCAAAAACGGACCAUUCGAUACUGGACUAACCAUAACUUUGGUUUUAUGGUAAAUUUAGCCGUGAAGCUACGCGAGUAAGAGGGGGCCGAUAAGGUCCCGCGGGACUUUUAGGUCAUUUCUAUGAAUUUGUAUUUAUUACUUCGGCUACAAAAUCUAUAAAAUUUACAAAAUAUACACAAAAUACGAAAGCUUCAUUUACAUAAAUAUUUUCCGCAACCCUCCCAUGAUACGUCGUUUACUCGCGUCAGGAUAAUAUAUCCAGGUAUCGUAUAAUAAAUAGUAAACUGCUAUUCGGCCCUACGAUACAAUCCUUGCAAUAUUUAGCAGCACAGUUACUCGUUAAAAAUGCGUCACAUUAUAUUAUAUAGAUCUUUUUUUUUUUUUUUUCAGUGGAAACAAACUCACGAGAAAUUAUCGUUGCACAUUUAUAAGAGAUUCUUGAUCGCAAAUGUGUCUGUAAUGUGGGUUUUUGUAAAAAAUUCUAAAAUGGAUGUAAAACGGUUCACUUUUUCGAACUCUUGCGAACGGCGUCGUUCGCAUACUAAUAUGCAUGUGGCAAAAAAAUUAAGACAUUUCGUUGCACGCAAGGCGAACGAUGAAGUUAUUUCUUAGCAAUUUCCAUCAAUCACUGGAAGGCAAAAUGAAAAAGAAAGGAAAUAAAUAAAAUAAAGAAACAAGGAGGAGAAAAGAGACUAUGUCAGCUUCAUUAAAUAUACGAAGCAAAGAGUAAAUUCUUUGCAAGUUGGUGCCUGUAAAGAGAUUACGAAAAGCAAUAUAAGGGAAGUAUCUUUCGUUAUUAAUUGAAUUCGCUGAAAUAAUUAGUGGGGUUUGAGGGUGGCGGUGGUGCCUUGA